rnacentral:rRNA from 1 species
UACGUAGGGCGCAAGCGUUAUCCGGAAUUAUUGGGCGUAAAGAGCUCGUAGGCGGUUUGUCGCGUCUGCUGUGAAAGACCGGGGCUCAACUCCGGUUCUGCAGUGGGUACGGGCAGACUAGAGUGCAGUAGGGGAGACUGGAAUUCCUGGUGUAGCGGUGAAAUGCGCAGAUAUCAGGAGGAACACCGAUGGCGAAGGCAGGUCUCUGGGCAUUAACUGACGCUGAGGAGCGAAAGCAUGGGGAGCGAACAGG